rnacentral:sRNA from 1 species
GAAAUUAACAAAUACCCAAAAAAAGUACACCAAUUUCACACUAGUAAUGGCUAUAGGCCUUCAAUGUAUGAAGCUCUAAAAAAAAAAAAAUCCCAAUCUUGAACAAAGAAAUCACGAAAAAAAAAGAUCAAGAUUCAUAUCUAUGCAUUGGCCUUCAAGUAUAUCACAAAUCAAACACUAGAACCAAGAGAAAUCACAAAUCUUAUGGCAAUCGGCCUUUAAGUAGUGUAAUCGGCAAUCGGCCUUCAAGAAUCAAUUAGCAAUUGACUUUUCAUUAAUCAUUCAAUGGAAUUAACUGAUGUAACUAAAUAACCUAGCAGAGACAGAGAGUACAUAAAUCAUCGAAAAUUGCAGUCGGCGAUACAGAAAUCACCAGAAAAGUACGAAGAUCACAGUCUGCGCUACCCAAAAAACUCCACUGUAAAUCUCGAACCUUCUCCUUGAGUUGCAGUAAGCGGAAGCAAUUAUGAACAGAGUAAUUCCACAAAGGAAGAACCUGCUCUGGAUACCAUAUUAACUAUCUUGAAUUAUCACAAAGAUUAUGCAGUGAAGAAAGAAUUGUAGAAAAGCUUUUAGAGAGCAAAGCAAGAAAGAUGAAGUUUCAGAUUUCAUUAACCGCCACAGUUAUUACACUCAAGCCUUUAUAUAGCUUGCUAAUACUUAGCUUAUCAAGUAAGCUUCUACAUAACCAAUACAAUCAAUACAUGUGGACUAAUACACUGUUGACACAUGUCCAAGUUUGUUAUCCUGUUAUUAGUUGUUACCAUAGCAUCUACAAGCAACAACACACAUGGAUACAACCAACCAUGCAGAAUGCUGCAUAGGCAAGAACUGCAGUGCUGAUCAUUUUUCAAACUUUAUGUAGGACAUUUGAAGUUAUCAUGAAAUAAAAGCUUGACGGAGUCGUGACACCCUGGAUGCGUGCAAAGUUGAUGAAGGCGUGAGGGGUCAACCUGUCAAGCAGCAACUCAAUCAACGGCCCAACAAACACCUCCGCCAUGGCCACCAUUGUUUCUUUGGUUGUCAAGCAAGGAUUGCAAUGAAUAAAGACGGGAAGGGUGAACAAAAGAAAGAGUAGUGAGUACUGGGAACUAAAACGUUCACAAGCACUGGACACCUGGUCAAACUAGUUAGGCUGAGAACUGGAAACUGUGUGUUGAUGAAGACUUUAAUUCAAUGCUAAUCGCACUGUAAACCUUACACUUUCCCAAAGCUUGAAUAUUUAACUUUUUAUUUGAGGAAUCCAAAGGCAA